AAUAUGAUCAUGUGCCGAGCACUUUGCUGUCAAGAGUAGCUUAUGAAGGGUAUGGGUAUAAGUGUCCCUCCGACCUGAAACCACCACGGUGACUUGUAAGCAACUCACUAUACUUUAGUAUCGGACUAUCUGAGUUUCUAACUUAGUGAUGGAAGGAUACUAGGUGUAGUCAAGUACUUAUCAAGUUGGUGUGUGAGUCAAGAUAGAAUUGACCCCUCUGAAUUGGUAGGAGAUAUGCAUCAGUGUAUUUCAAUUUAGCAAAACCUUGGCCAGCAUAAUUCAUGAGA
rnacentral:lncRNA from 1 species